GGGCCCGGGGCCGUCCGGAGCGGCCUUUGGGGCUUCCAGGGGCGGUUCGGGGCUGCGAGGAGGGAGUCUUGGGCCCAGUGCCCAGCCCCAGGCCUACCAAGACUGACAGACAUACACAGAUAAGCACCGAAGGAACCAAAAGCACACGCGCAGAGAGGAAGAGUUCAAAAGUUCAUCCACGAAGAAGACCACGAUCUUCAGCGCCAAGAGACCACCAUAGAACCCCUCAGGACCACCACGGCAAACCACACAUGCCCAGAAGGGCGUGGACCUAUUUAGCAUGAGAGGCGAGGACAGGUGGGGCCAGGGGUUGAAUAUGCAUAAAAAGUUGUGCAAUGUACUGCAUAUGGAACACCUUUGUGAAUGAAAGUGUGGCUCAGACCGAGGCUCUGCACACAAGUUUUCAGAGUUAUUUCACUUCUGCCGGGCACUGGCUAUACAUACCCACUUCAUAA